GACGAACGCUGGCGGCGCGCCUAACACAUGCAAGUCGAACGAGCGAGAGAGAGCUUGCUUUCUCGAGCGAGUGGCGAACGGGUGAGUAACGCGUGAGGAACCUGCCUCAAAGAGGGGGACAACAGUUGGAAACGACUGCUAAUACCGCAUAAGCCCACGGUGCCGCAUGGCACAGAGGGAAAAGGAGCAAUCCGCUUUGAGAUGGCCUCGCGUCCGAUUAGCUAGUUGGUGAGGUAAUGGCCCACCAAGGCGACGAUCGGUAGCCGGACUGAGAGGUUGAACGGCCACAUUGGGACUGAGACACGGCCCAGACUCCUACGGGAGGCAGCAGUGGGGAAUAUUGCACAAUGGGGGAAACCCUGAUGUAGCGACGCCGCGUGGAGGAAGAAGGUCUUCGGAUUGUAAACUCCUGUUGUUGGGGAAGAUAAUGACGGUACCCAACAAGGAAGUGACGGCUAACUACGUG
rnacentral:rRNA from 1 species